CCUACGGGUGGCAGCAGUUAGGAAUAUUGGGCAAUGGAGGAAACUCUGACCCAGCAACGCCGCGUGAAGGAAGAAGGUUUUCGGAUUGUAAACUUCUGAUCUGUGGGACGAAGGAAUUGACGGUACCACCGGAGAAAGCCACGGCUAACUACGUGCCAGCAGCCGCGGUAAUACGUAGGUGGCGAGCGUUGUCCGGAAUAACUGGGCGUAAAGGGAGCAUAGGUGGUUGAUUAAGUUAAAUGUGAAAGCCCAGGGCUAAACCCUGGAACUGCAUUUAAUACUGGUCGGCUAGAGUAUAGGAGGGGGAGACGGAAUUUCUAGUGUAGCGGUGAAAUGCGUAGAUAUGUGGAAGAACACCGGAGGCGAAGGCGGUUUACUGGACUACAACUGACACUGAGGCUCGAAAGCGUGGGGAGCAAACAGGAUUAGAUACCCGUGUAGUC
rnacentral:rRNA from 1 species